AGAGUUUGAUCCUGGCUCAGGAUGAACGCUGGCGGCGUGCUUAACACAUGCAAGUCGAGCGAAGCAUAUAAGCGGAAGUUUUCGGAUGGAAGCGUGUAUGACUGAGCGGCGGACGGGUGAGUAACGCGUGGGUAACCUGCCUCAUACAGGGGGAUAACAGUUAGAAAUGACUGCUAAUACCGCAUAAGCGCACAGGACCGCAUGGUCAAGUGUGAAAAACUCCGGUGGUAUGAGAUGGACCCGCGUCUGAUUAGCUGGUUGGUGAGGUAAUGGCCCACCAAGGCGACGAUCAGUAGCCGACCUGAGAGGGUGGCCGGCCACAUUGGGACUGAGACACGGCCCAAACUCCUACGGGAGGCAGCAGUGGGGAAUAUUGCACAAUGGGGGAAACCCUGAUGCAGCGACGCCGCGUGAGCGAUGAAGUAUUUCGGUAUGUAAAGCUCUAUCAGCAGGGAAGAAAAUGACGGUACCUGACUAAGAAGCCCCGGCUAACUACGUGCCAGCAGCCGCGGUAAUACGUAGGGGGCAAGCGUUAUCCGGAUUUACUGGGUGUAAAGGGAGCGUAGACGGCUGUGCAAGCCAGAUGUGAAAGCCCGGGGCUCAACCCCGGGACUGCAUUUGGAACUGCGUGGCUUGAAUGUCGGAGAGGCAGGCGGAAUUCCUAGUGUAGCAGUGAAAUGCGUAGAUAUCGAGAGGAACACUCGUGGCGAAGGCGGGUUCCUGGACAUUAACUGACGCUGAGGCACGAAGGCCAGGGGAGCGAAAGGGAUUAGAUACCCCUGUAGUCCUGGCAGUAAACGGUGCACGCUUGGUGUGCGGGGAAUCGACCCCCUGCGUGCCGGAGCUAACGCGUUAAGCGUGCCGCCUGGGGAGUACGGUCGCAAGAUUAAAACUCAAAGGAAUUGACGGGGACCCGCACAAGCGGUGGAGCAUGUGGUUUAAUUCGAAGCGACGCGAAGAACCUUACCCGGCCUUGACAUCCCCACGGAUGCAGGGCAAUGCCUGCAGCCCUUCGGGGCGUGGGAGACAGGUGGUGCAUGGUUGUCGUCAGCUCGUGUCGUGAGAUGUUGGGUUAAGUCCCGCAACGAGCGCAACCCUUAUUGUUAGUUGCUACGCAAGAGCACUCUAGCGAGACUGCCGUUGACAGAACGGAGGAAGGUGGGGACGACGUCAAAUCAUCAUGCCCCUUAUGUCCUGGGCCACACACGUACUACAAUGGCGGUAAACAGAGGGAAGCAAAACCGCGAGGUGGAGCAAAUCCCUAAAAGCCAUCCCAGUUCGGAUCGCAGGCUGCAACCCGCCUGCGUGAAGUUGGAAUCGCUAGUAAUCGCGGAUCAGCAUGCCGCGGUGAAUACGUUCCCGGGCCUUGUACUCACCGCCCGUCA
rnacentral:rRNA from 1 species